rnacentral:rRNA from 1 species
UGCAGUCGGACGGUAGCACAGAGGACUUGCUCCUUGGGUGACGAGUGGCGGACGGGUGAGUAAUGUCUGGGGAUCUGCCCGAUAGAGGGGGAUAACCACUGGAAACGGUGGCUAAUACCGCAUAACGUCGCAAGACCAAAGAGGGGGACCUUCGGGCCUCUCACUAUCGGAUGAACCCAGAUGGGAUUAGCUAGUAGGCGGGGUAAUGGCCCACCUAGGCCACUAUCCCUAUCUGGUCUGAGAGGAUGACCAGCCACACUGGAACUGAGACACGGUCCACACUCCUACGGGAGGCAGCAGUGGGGAAUAUUGCACAAUGGGCGCAAGCCUGAUGCACCCAUGCCGCGUGUAUGAAGAAGGCCUUCGGGUUGUAAAGUACUUUCAGCGGGGAGGAAGGCGGUGCGGUUAAUAACCGCGCCGAUUGACGUUACCCGCAAAAGAAGCACCGGCUAACUCCGUGCCAGCAGCCGCGGUAAUACGGAGGGUGCAAGCGUUAAUCG